rnacentral:rRNA from 1 species
CCCCCACUAGUCUGGGAUACCACUUGGAAACAGGUGCUAAUACCGGAUAAGAAAGCGGAUCGCAUGAUCAGCUUUAAAAGGCGGCGUAAGCUGUCGCUAUGGGAUGGCCCCGCGGUGCAUUAGCUAGUGGUAAGGUAAAGGCUUACCAAGGCGAUGAUGCAUAGCCGAGUUGAGAGACUGAUCGGCCACAUUGGGACUGAGACACGGCCCAAACUCCUACGGGAGGCAGCAGU